AGUGAACGCUGGCGGUAGGCCUAACACAUGCCAGUCGAACGGCAGCACAGUAAGAGCUUGCUCUUACGGGUGGCGAGUGGCGGACGGGUGAGGAAUACAUCGGAAUCUACUUUUUCGUGGGGGAUAACGUAGAGAAACUUACGCUAAUACCGCAUACGACCUACGGGUGAAAGCAGGGGAUCUUCGGACCUUGCGCGAUUGAAUGAGCCGAUGUCGGAUUAGCUAGUUGGCGGGGUAAAGGCCCACCAAGGCGACGAUCCGUAGCUGGUCUGAGAGGAUGAUCAGUCACACUGGAACUGAGACACGGUCCAGACUCCUACGGGAGGCAGCAGUGGGGAAUAUUGGACAAUGGGCGCAAGCCUGAUCCAGCCAUACCGCGUGGGUGAAGAAGGCCUUCGGGUUGUAAAGCCCUUUUGUUGGGAAAGAAAAGCAGCAGGUUAAUACCCCGCUGUUCUGACGGUACCCAAAGAAUAAGCACCGGCUAACUUCGUG
rnacentral:rRNA from 1 species